CGAGCCGCGCUUGGAGAGGGCAGAGUCGAGCCAGUAGAGAGACGGACUAGACUAGACCAGAUCUCGUAGCGGGGUCUCCGGCCGCCUCCCCCUCCCGGGGCCAGCACGCCCUGCCGUCCGCCGGCGGCCUGCUCGGUCGUCGGUGAGUACGUGCAGCGGCCCGAAGAGGCGCGUGCUCGCUCCAAGGGCGAAGGGGGACGCGCCGGAUCUCGCGGGGCAAGUGCGCCAGCGACCUGAGGUACCUUGGUAUGGAAUGAAGUGAAGAGCGCAGAGUAUCUUGGUCUUGCUAAUCAAUGCAUCAUAUUAUGUGCGCAAUAAGAUUUUGCUAUGCUUUCACCGUCGAUGCCCACUGGUUGGAUCAUGCUUCUGUUUAUGAGCUCAUUGAAGUAACUCUCUCGUAGCUCAAAUGGGCCAAUUCCUCGUUUGCGUGGCACACAAAACCUUCAGCUAUCCAUCUCCAUAUCAGUUGGUCUCUCUUAAUUUUGUAAUCUUCUGGAAAUAUGCUUAAGUAUAAUAAAUGAUGUGAAGGUAGAUCAUAGAACAUCAACACAAAUCUUAAUCUAAAACAAGAUGGUGUACCCUAGUUUUUGUGAUUUAACACAAAUAGGAGGGCACCCAUGCACCAAUACCAUGAAAAGCAGCAAAGAAAAUGAGUAAAAGAGGCACCUGACUUGUAGAUUAUACAAGAGUGAUGAUCUGGAAGUCAACCCUCUUUUACCAGUAGUUUGAUCUACCUUCUCAUCUAUAGGAUUAGUUAUUAUGUCUAAGCAUGUUUUUAGAAGAUUAGAAGAUUAAGCAAGCUCAUUCGAUAUGUAAGGUGGAUAGUUUGAGGUUUUGUUUAUCAUGAAAACCAAGGGAUUAGCAAGUUUGAGCUCGGUGGUAGAAUUGCUCAAUGAGAUCGUGAAUAGGAGCAUGAUUCAACCAAUUGACAUCAAUGUUGAUAAAGGCAUGGAAAAAUCUUAUCGUAUACAUGAUAUGGUGAUUGAUUUCAUAUGCUGAAGAAAAACACUUCUGUGGCACGGAGUGAAAGCGGUCUAUCCAAAGGCAAGAUGUGAAGAUUAUCCAUCUGAAAGAGCAUGACAGGUGAAAUUUCUGAUUGCCAUCAGUAGGAGGAUUGGCACAAGUGAGGCCUUGCAAUAUCCUUGCUGAAGCUACUUGUGUUCAGCGUUUGAGGAUAUUGAUCGGAGGCUGAGAGUCCAGAAAACUGCAUUUGCCUUGGUGUUUGAUUGUCAUUCUUCUGUAACAGAGAACCGAGAACUGAGAGUAAACGUUGGGAUUUUUCCAUCUACUCGUUGAAUGAAAUUAUGGCAGUAAUGCUUUGAUUUUGACAUGAUUCUUUUUCGGGAAAAUGGAGGCAUUCCAUUUAUUUAUAUUAAUGAAGGAGCCAGAAGAGAGCCGGUAAAGAUGGAACAGAAGCUCGUGACAUGAUAUCCCCCGAUUAAUUUAUGAUGUCCCUAGAAAUUCUAGUGUUCCUCUUAUCCAAAGCCAAUUCCGCUGUGAAAACUCUAUUUUACACGAUUUUAUGGUGCUAGAAAGUACUGCUCCAGUUUUGAAUUAUAAGAUGUUUUAAUUUUUUGAAUCGAAUGUACAUAAACAUGUUUUAGUGUGAUUGUUUAUUUAUUUCAGUCCGUAUGUAGUCUAUAUUGAAAUGUCCAAAACGUCUCGCGUUAACAUUGCACAUAACGUGGUAAAUAUUACAUUUCAUGUGGUUGUGUGUGCUUCUGUACUUGGAGUAACCGAGCCGUUCAUAUUAAUGCAUGUCUUCUCACGUGGCAUUGCAGGUAGCAGGAGCACAUGGACUCCACGGUGCGAGCCUCCAGCUCCCCUGCUUCUAGUCCGACCAAGACAUAGGUUCAAGGACGAGAACGGCGAUGGCGCGGACGGGCUCGUGCGCUCCUGCUAGCUGGCGCGAACAGAGCGAUGACGCGUUGGGUACUGUAUUAAAUGCGGUUGUAUGUAUACAGCGUCAUUACGUACUUUCGCAAACUACGUGCGGAAACGGGGACGUCCAACAUAACCGAUCUGUCUUCUCCCCGGUGGUGCCUGGCGCGGUAGACGAAUUUGAAACUGCAUGGGAGCAGCUUAUUGAGACUGCAUGUGUGCGUACGAGUUCAGAGAUGUCUGCAGCUCAGUCGAUCGGGUACUCUGCUGGGCAGGUGUCUUC